rnacentral:lncRNA from 1 species
UUUAAAAAUAUUUUUCUGCAUUUUAAAAUUCUAAAAAAUUUAUUUCAUGUUUCUCAUUUUAUUUUCAACCUUUCAUGAUUUUCUUGGCCAUUUAUUUGGUGUUUUGAAAGACUUUGUGAAAUUUUCAUUUUACUCCCAUUUUAAAAAUCAUUUAAAACACCUUUAAUACAUUUUUAUUUCAUUUAAUUGCAUUUUUUAAUUUGUUUGACCUUGUGGACUUUUG